rnacentral:rRNA from 1 species
ACGAGCGACCCGGGCUUGCCCGGUUAGCUAGUGGCAGACGGCUGAGUAACACGUAAGUAAUUUGCCCCGAAGAGGGGGAUAAUCCAGAGAAAUUUGGCCUAAUACCCCGUACCUUUCCUUCCAGCCUGCUGGAUUGAAAGAAAGGUUUCGGCCGCUUUGGGAGAAGCUUGUGGCUUAUCAGGUAGUUGGUGGGGUAAUGGCCUACCAAGCCGAAGACGAGUAACCGGUGUGAGAGCACGAUCGGUCAGAGGGGGACUGAGACACGGCCCCCACUCCUACGGGAGGCAGCAGCAGGGAAUCUUGCGCAAUGGGCGAAAGCCUGACGCAGCGACACCGCGUGGAGGAUGAAGGUCUUAGGAUUGUAAACUCCUUUUAUCAGGGAAGAGAAAGGACGGUACCUGAUGAAUAAGGUUCGGCUAACUACGUGCCAGCAGCCGCGGUAAUACGUAGGAACCGAGCGUUGUCCGAAUUUACUGGGCGUAAAGAGCGCGUAGGUGGUUCGUUAAGUCUCAUGUGUAAUCUCCCGGCUCAACUGGGAGGGGUCAUGGGAUACUGGCAGACUUGAGGGUAGCAGAGGAAAGCGGAAUUCCCGGAGUAGUGGUGAAAUGCGUAGAUACCGGGAGGAACACCAGAGGCGAAGGCGGCUUUCUGGGCUAUUCCUGACACUGAGGCGCGAAAGCGUGGGGAGCGAACCGGAUUAGAUACCCGGGUAGUCCACGCCCUAAACGAUGGAUACUAGAUAUUGGGGGUAUAGACCCCUCCAGUGUCGAAGCUAACGCGAUAAGUAUCCCGCCUGGGGAGUACGGCCGC